GAUGAACGCUAGCGAUAGGCUUAACACAUGCAAGUCGAGGGGCAGCAUGGUCUUAGCUUGCUAAGACUGAUGGCGACCGGCGCACGGGUGCGUAACGCGUAUGCAACUUGCCUCACAGAGGGGGAUAACCCGUCGAAAGACGGACUAAUACCGCGUACACUUGGGAUAGGGCAUCCUGACCCAAGGAAAUGAAAUUCGCUGUGAGAUAGGCAUGCGUCCCAUUAGCUAGUUGGUGAGGUAACGGCUCACCAAGGCGACGAUGGGUAGGGGAACUGAGAGGUUGAACCCCCACACUGGUACUGAGACACGGACCAGACUCCUACGGGAGGCAGCAGUGAGGAAUAUUGGUCAAUGGGCGAGAGCCUGAACCAGCCAAGUCGCGUGAAGGAUGACUGUCUUAUGGAUUGUAAACUUCUUUUAGACGGGAAUAACAAGAGUCACGUGUGGCUCCCUGCAUGUACCGUAUGAAUAAGCAUCGGCUAACUCCGUG
rnacentral:rRNA from 1 species